ensembl:lncRNA
UUGUAUACCAAAUAUUCUUUAUUUUCCAAAGGUAUCAAACUACAGACAAACAGGUCUUUGUUCUGACAUUACACUGAAUGCGAGCUGUUAUUUCACCACAACCCCAUCCCCCUCAGGGCCCUGAACAUAGAUCAUGGAACCUCCAUGUUUGCUGGAAGUCUUAGCUUGAAACUCAAGAGUAUAUAUAGUACACCAUGUGAUGUGCACUGUUACAAAGAUACUCAUUUGAAGAAAUGCAUCAUUGUUAAAUGCAUUUGUGUUGAGAAAAUAAUUGACACAAUACUGUUACAAUACACAAUACAGUUUGAAAAUUCUAUGACGCUAUGAAGAAGCCAACAUUCAAAAUGACUUAGAAAAAGACAACUGUCCAAAGGUAUGUGCACCACUGUCCACUAACACUUACCGCAUACACACAUCACAUUCAAAGGCCCAUCCUAUUUAAAGCAUUUAUGUCACAUUUCAAUUUCACCCAUGUCCCUGUAUUUUCCUUUUCAAGAAAUAACUAGUAUUUCAUAACGAGUAGAUAAAUUGCUGUACGUUAUUAUUUAUGUAUAUUCAUGGUGUAUGUGAUGAUAAACAUUUAACUGACUGCUGAUGCAACAUGGUCUACUAAGUGAUCCAAUGAAACAUUAACUUCUCCAUUCUCUCUGUCUUCAAUCAUAAUUCACUUUCAGAGGUCCAUCACACAUCCACAGGUGACACAUCCAGGUCAUCUAAGGAGGUUAACAUGAUCAUGCAGGUAACUAUCGUUUACUCCAAGGUUUAGUUUGGCAUUCUACUGGAAGAGCUAUUACAAGGCUUGAAACACAAUAUCACUGAAAGAAGUGACGGUUAAUAUUUCGAAAUUCAAAUAAUGUCAUAUCUAUGGGCCUACCUAAAUCAGAACACGGUAUUUACAGAGACAGACAGUGGUAUGGAAUAUAGGUAUUGACAACCUUUUUUCAACCAGUUCCAAGAUGAUGGUGCUGUUAAGCUUGCUCAGGAUAGUAAACACGCUCUUUCCAGGGUAUUGGUUGCAGAAAGAUACUAAAUGACUUGAUUGGCUCAUAGUCAUUAAUAACAGAUAGCAGAGUAUGGAAGUUAAGAUCAGUUAACAUUGACUCAGCUGCAGUCAGCCCUCUAUUAUCUCUGUAUUAUUUUGGCCUAGUCGUCUGGGGAUGUUUCUGCCUGUGGUGUUUUAUCUAAGGAAAUCUGAAUACCCAGGUUUGUAUUAUUUUGCUGACAUCACCCUAUUCUCUCCAAAUUGUCUGAACUUCCGGGAAUCUGGUAACCAGGAGUGUCUAAUAGUUUGAUCCAUGACCUAUUUUCCUAUUUAACCCUUCACUUCUAUCAGGAUUCCAAUGCACACAUAACCAAACAAAAAUAGCAUUACAUAGGCCAUUAGGCCCAUUCAAUCAGAUAUAUAUUUUUGCUAUCAUGAUUUAAAUCAAACAUGAUACCACAACAGACAUUGUAAAACCCCAGAGUAA